UACUGGAAAAAUCACCCAGGAGGCAGCGUGGACAAUGGAUUGGAGAAGGGCGAACAUUCAGUCAGAGACUUUGUGAGCUUACUGUAAAUUAGAGGGAGCAAAUUGGAGGAGAAAUGACAAAAGAAACAGAAAAAAUGUUUAAUCAGACAAAGGAACUAAAAAACCUCAGUCUUAAUUAGAAGAUGGUCAAACAAAUCUCUUAACUGAUGUUCACAAUGAUGGUUUCAAGUCAUCUAAGGAAUGGGCUCCAUAUGAAAGCACUUGAAUCCCUCCAGUUUAUCUCAGUGCCUUAGACUGGAUCUUCUAGAAACAGAGAAUUCCAGGUAGAAGGUUUAUUGGAGAAUGCCCUCAGGAAAUAUACCUAAAGGAAGUGAAGAUGGAGGCAAGACUGGACAGA
rnacentral:lncRNA from 10 species